rnacentral:tRNA from 1 species
GUGGGUAUAGCUCAGUGGUAGAGUAUAUGCUUAGCAUGCAUGAGGACCUGGGUUCAAUCCCCAGUACCUCCA